UACGGAGGGGGCUAGCGUUGUUCGGAAUUACUGGGCGUAAAGCGCACGUAGGCGGCUUUGCAAGUCAGAGGUGAAAGCCCGGGGCUCAACCCCGGAAUUGCCUUUGAGACUGCAUCGCUAGAAUUGUGGAGAGGUAAGUGGAAUUCCGAGUGUAGAGGUGAAAUUCGUAGAUAUUCGGAAGAACACCAGUGGCGAAGGCGACUUACUGGACACAUAUUGACGCUGAGGUGCGAAAGCGUGGGGAGCAAACAGG
rnacentral:rRNA from 1 species